AUAUAUUUAGAUACAAUUUUUGAAGCUAUCUGUAGAAUUGUUUUAGCUUUAUUGAUUAGAAUUGUACAGGGAGGAAGAACUUCUUCAAGAUUAAAAAUUUCUGAUGUUCUCUUUUUCGUCUCAGUUUUAUUUUUUGAUCUACAGUAUCUGGAAUCAAGAGUUAUCUGAUUUAGAAGGCUUAGCUGUUUUUGAUAAUGCAUGUAUGUAGCUAUCCAUUCCCCUAUUGUCAUUGGAAUCUAAACUCUUCAUUGAAGAACAGAGAGAGAGAGAGACAUUACAGCCAGUGAGAUCUAAUGAAUGGAGAUUCUUCUAUAUCUGAUUGCAAUAUGGAUUCAUCAAACAGGUUCAAAAUAGUUUAGCCAGGAACAUAUGCCUCACCUUUUUUUUUUUUUUUCUCCUUUUUUGGUGGGGGUGUUCAACCCUGGAUCCUCCGCCAGGAAUUGUGUACCAGUGGCCUCCUCACACACACACAAGAAAUAGGAAGUAGAAAAGAGAGGGAGAGGGGGGAUUGUCGACUGGUGUUGAUGUCUAACAUAGAUAUGCUAAUUAAGUUUUACACUAGAGGGUUAACCCUAGAAAGUAUACAUAUUUACUUAGAGACCUGCAAUGGCACUUGGUUUGUGCUUGUCAGGAGAGAGAUUGAAUAUCAGGGACAUUUAUUCAAAGGCUUUGUUGGUGCUUUUGCUUCCUUCUUCAUAAACAAUCUGGUUACUAAGGCUUAUUUCCUAGGAAGUUGCUGUUUGAUGUUUUUCUCUUUUCCACUCUGACCUCUGAUUCAUUCCAUAGGAUUUGCAGUGACUAACAAAACUAAGUUGUGACAGAGCUGUGGUGACCAUGGCUGCAUUAGAAAGUUGUUUCGCCUUAUUCUGUGAUAAGCCUUAGUUAAGCAGAAUCUGAUCUUAGUUCUGUCUAUAGGCUCCUAUUGCACUACUACAACUGACCUCAAGCGUAGAUGUUUUACAACAAGUGAUGUUUCAAAGUAUCACUUUGGUCUUAUGGGGUGGUCUAUGAAUUUAGAGUUCAAAAAAAAAAAAAAGGAAGGCUGGUUCAACAAAAUAUAACUAAAAUAAAAGGGUUUGCAAUUGCAGACUUAUUUAGUUUUCAUGAAUUUGAAACAUGUAUAUAUCACCAAAGCUAACAUUGGAGUACUUCCUUAUGUGUGAUGUGCAUGAGGACUUUCAGUGUAGAUUGUUAUUUCAGUGACUUAAGGCAGCCCUUAAGAGGACAAUUGUCAGGCAUCUCGUCAAUCAAGAACUCUUGAAUGAGGUUGUUAGUUCUGGGUUUGAUCUUGUAUAGUGUUCGAUAUGGUGAUUAACUUAUCAGAUUUAGUUUGACUAAGGAGUAAAGUUCUGAGUCAUCUGCUUUUUUUUUUUUUUCAUACCCUUGAGGCUGCUGAUUUGUUUGCAAAGAAUAUGAUAUUGUGAAGCUAUAUUCCAUUUCUUAAGGCUGCUGAAAAAAAAAAUCUGAUCUGGAUGACUGCACGGUAAGGAAGAUGUGAAGGCUAUGUCAAGACUUCGUCUUCACCAGAAAUAUACAACAGGUCCAGGAGAUGUCUAACGGAUGGCCUCUUGGGCUUCAGGCCAUGAGCACUAGGCUAAGAGUGGUGGAUGGCUUACAAGCCACUACAGCAGAUCCAUCUUUUUUCCAUAUGCAUGCAUUCAGUUUCACAUCAUUCACUUCCUCUGACCUCGACACUGAGUCAACAAGGUCCUUCUUCCAAGACCGUAGCGUUUCACUGGGAAGAUUGAUUGGAUUAAUACCACAAAAUGGAGAAGAAUUAUGUUUAACCAACUCAUUGCAUCUCGUAGAACGUGAACGGGUAUCUGCGGCAGGUGCCACCAAAAAUACGACCAGUAGACGACAAAUGAAAAUGUCUGAAUGUAUCUGUGUACCACUAUUGCUAUGUAUUCUUGCAAGGACAAGCCGGAGUAGACAAGCUGAAGUAGAAACACCUCAAGACACUGAAGUUAGUGGUCAAAUUAGAGGCAAUCAAUUAUGAUGUGAGGUAUUCUUAUUGUAAUAAAUCUUGUAAUAUGAAAUACUCAUUUUAUCUUGAGGAUGGUGUAAUGGGAAGUGAUGAGAGUCCCAGCCAUUUGGUAAUUAAUAAAGCAGUUCAUUGUUAAUUAA